rnacentral:rRNA from 1 species
GAUGAACGCUGGCGGCGUGCCUAAUACAUGCAAGUCGAGCGGACAGACGAUGAGCUUGCUCCUCUGACGUUAGCGGCGGACGUGUGAGUAACACGUGUAUAACCUCCCUAUAAUACUGAGAUAACUUCGGGAAACCGGAGCUAAUACCAGAUAAUAUAUUGAACCGCAUGGUUCAAUGGUGAAAUACGGUUUUGCUGUCACUUAUAGAUGCAUCCGGGCCGGAUUAGCUAGUUGUUAAGGUAACGGCUUACCACGGCGACGAUGCGUAGCCGACCUGACAGGCGGAUCGGCCACACGGGAAGGGAGCCGCCGUCAUGACGACUACGGGAGGGAGCAGUAGCGAAUCUUCGGCAGUGGGCGGAAGUAUGGCGGAGCAGCGGCGAGCGAGUUAUGGAGGUCCUGGGAUCGGAAAGAUCGGUUAUGAGGGAAGAACAAAUGUGGCAGGAACUAUGGACGGAGUGACGGUAAUUAGUAAGAAAGCACCGGCUAACUACGUG